CACGUAGGGCGCAAGCGUUGUCCGGAAUUAUUGGGCGUAAAGAGCUCGUAGGCGGACUGUCACGUCUGCUGUGAAAAGCUGGGGCUUAACCCUGGCCUUGCAGUGGAUACGGGCAGACUAGAGUGCGGUAGGGGAGAAUGGAAUUCCCGGUGUAGCGGUGAAAUGCGCAGAUAUCGGGAGGAACACCGGUGGCGAAGGCGGUUCUCUGGGCCGUGACCUGACGCUGAGGAGCGAAAGCGUGGGGAGCGAACAGG
rnacentral:rRNA from 1 species